rnacentral:rRNA from 1 species
UACGGAGGGUGCAAACGUUGUCCGGAAUCACUGGGCGUAAAGCGCAUGUAGGUGGUUUGGUAAGUGGGUGAUUAAAGACCGAUGCUUAACAUCGGGCCUGUUGCCCAUACUGCCUGACUAGAGGAUGACAGGGGUAAGCGGAACUUUAGGUGUAGGAGUGAAAUCCGUAGAUAUCUAAAGGAACACCAAUGGCGAAGGCAGCUUACUGGGUUUUUCCUGACACUGAGAUGCGAAAGCGUGGGGAGCGAACGGG